rnacentral:rRNA from 1 species
AGUGAACGCUGGCGGUAGGCCUAACACAUGCAAGUCGAACGGCAGCACAGGAGAGCUUGCUCUCUGGGUGGCGAGUGGCGGACGGGUGAGGAAUACAUCGGAAUCUACCUUGUCGUGGGGGAUAACGUAGGGAAACUUACGCUAAUACCGCAUACGACCUUCGGGUGAAAGUGGGGGACCGCAAGGCCGCACGCGAUUAGAUGAGCCGAUGUCGGAUUAGCUAGUUGGCGGGGUAAAAGCCCACCAAGGCGACGAUCCGUAGCUGGUCUGAGAGGAUGAUCAGCCACACUGGAACUGAGACACGGUCCAGACUCCUACGGGAGGCAGCAGUGGGGAAUAUUGGACAAUGGGCGCAAGCCUGAUCCAGCCAUACCGCGUGGGUGAAGAAGGCCUUCGGGUUGUAAAGCCCUUUUGUUGGGAAAGAAAUCUUGCCGGUUAAUACCUGGCGAGGAUGACGGUACCCAAAGAAUAAGCACCGGCUAACUUCGUGCCAGCCGCCGCAGUAAUAC